GACAGAGGAGCUGGUGGGAGAUGAAGUUGAGGACACCAAUCGCUAUGCCUUGGAGCUACAGAAGAAGAUAGAGCCACAUGGAAAGUGGACCACCUGACGAGAGAGAGAAAGAUCAAACCAGACUGUGUGUUUGACUUUAAUCGCAAUAUGGGGUCAGUGGAUAAAACGGACAUGAUAAACAGCUCUAAGAUAAACUUGGAUUAAAAUGAGAAACUUGGAUUAGCUAACACAACGUGCCAUUGGAACACAGGAGUGAUGGUUGCUGAUAAUGGGCAUCUGUACGCAUAUGUAGAUAUACCAUUAAAUCUGCCACUUCCAGGCAACCGCUAUCACCACUACCCAGCAAACAAACCCAAAGGGAGACCUCUCAAAAAAAAUAGGAGUGAGAGAAGAGGAGAGAGACGAGGGGGAACAAGUGCCAAGAGAGAGCAAGUCACUAAUCUCAUGCCAUGUUUGACGAGUGUCGUUUUUGCUGAUGCCGAAUGGGGGCCGGGGGAAUUCGGUGAGCUCAUCUGAUGGUCUAUCUUGUCUAGACGCACAGGAGGAGGAGAGAGGAGGUGUAGAGACGGAGUGGAAGAGAGACACAUCAAUAUGAGAGAGAGAGAGAGAGAGAGAGAGAGAGAGAGAGAGAGAGAGAGGGAGAGAGAAUCAAUGAAUUGGCGAGGGCACUAGAACAGUCUGCAGCACCCGGCCUCACCCUACUAGAAUCUGAAGUCAAAUGUCUACUGUUUGCUGAUGAUCUGGUGCUUCUGUCUCCAACCAAGGGGAGACUACAGCAGAGUCUAGAUCUUCUGCACAGAUUCCGUCAGACCUAAAUCUCAGUAAGAUAAAAAUAAUUAUGUUUAAGAAAAGGUCCAGUUGCCAGAACAACAAAUACCAUUGCCCUAGAGCACACAAAAAAUGAUAUAUACCUUGGUCUAAACAUCAGCAACACAGGUAACUUCCACAAAGCUGUGAGGAAGGAGCAUAAAAUGUGACAUACCAAUUAGGAUUUAGCUAAGAAUACAGAUGAAGUCGAAAGUUUACAUACACUUAGGUUGGAGUCAUUAAAACUUGUUUUUCAACCACUCCACAAAUUUCUUGUUAACAUACUAUAGUGUCGGCAAGUCGGUUAGGACAUCUACUUUGUGCAUGACACAAGUAUAUUUUCCGACAAUUGUUAAGAGACAGAUUAUUUCACUGUAUCACAAUUCCAGUGGGUCAGAAGUUUACAUACGCUAAGUUGACUGUGCAUUUAAACAGCUUGAAAAAUUCCAGAAAAGAAGGUCAUGGCUUUAGAAGCUUCUGAUAGGCUAAUUGACAUUGUUUGAGUCAAUUGGAGGUGUACCUGUGAAUGUAUUUCAAGGCCUACUUUCAAAUUCAGUGCCUCUUUGCUUGACAUCAUGGGGAAAUCAAAAGAAAUCAGCCAAGACCUCAGAAAAAACAUUGUAUACCUCCACAGUAUGGUUCAUCCUUGGGAGCAAUUUCCAAAUGCCUGAAAGUACCACGUUCAUCUGUACAAACAAUUGGACGCAAGUAUAAACACCAUGGGACCACGCAGCCAUCAUACCACUCAGGAAGGAGACGCGUUCUGUCUCCUAGAGAUGAACGUACUUUGGUGCGAAAAGUGCAAAUCAAUCCCAGAACAACAGCAAAGGACAAUGAGAAAAUGCUGGAGGAAACAGGUAAAAAAGCAUCUAUAUCCACAGUAAAAGAAGCCAUAUAUCGACAUAACCUGAAAGGCUGCUCAGCAAGUAAGAAGCUUCUGCUCCAAAACCGCCAUAAAAACUCCAGACCACGGUUUGCAACUGCACAUGGGGACAAAGAUCAUACUUUUUGGAGAAAUGUCCUCUGGUUUAAUGAAACAAAAAUAGAACUGUUUGGUCAUAAUGACUAUCAUUAAGUUUGGAGGAAAAGGGGGAGGCUUGCUAACCAAAGAACAACAUCCCAACCGUGAAGCACGAGGGUGGCAGCAUCAUGUUGUGGGGGUGCUUUGCUGCAGGAGGGACUGGUGCACUUCACAAAAUAGAUUAUGUGGAUAUAUUGGAGCAACAUCUCAAGACAUCAGUCAGGAAGUUAAAGCUUGGUCGCAAAUGGGUCAUCCAAAUGGACAAUGACCUCAAGCAUACUUCCAAAAUUAUGGCAAAAUGGCUUCAGGACAACAAAGUGAAGGUAUUGAAGUGGCCAUUAUAAAGCCCUGACCUCAAUCCUAUAGAAAAUUUGUGGGCAGAACUGAAAAAAAGUGAGUGCGAGCCAGGAGGCCUACAAACCAGCUCUGUCAUGAGGAAUGGGCCAAAAUUCACCCAACUUAUUGUGGGAAGCGUGUGGAAGGCUACCCAAAAUGUUUGACUCAAGUUAAACAAUUUAAAGGAAAUGCUACCAAAUACUAAUUGAAUGUAAACUUCUAACCCACUGGGAAUGUGAUGAAAGAAAUAAAAGCUGAACUAAAUCAUUCUCUCUACUAUUAUUCUGACAUUUCACAUACAAGGUCUGUGAGAGCCAGAAAUCUUGCUUGUUUGUAGGUGACCAAAUACAUAUUUUCCACCAUAAUUUGCAAAUAAAUUAAUUACAAAUCAUACAAUGUGAUUUUCUGGAUUUUUUUUCUCAUUUUGUCUGUCAUACUUGAAGUGUACCUAUGAUGAAAAUUACAGGCUUCUCUCAUCUUUUUAAGUGGGAGAACUUGCACAAUUGGUGGCUGACUAAAUACUUUUUUUGCCCCACUGUACAUUGUUUAACCUAAUUCUGACUAAAACUACACACAUCAUCAGAUUAUAAUUUUAUGAUUCUAAUCAAUUUCAUACAGUUAUAAGGUUUC